GAUGAACGCUGGCGGCGUGCCUAAUACAUGCAAGUCGAGCGAACAGACGAGGAGCUUGCUCCUCUGACGUUAGCGGCGGACGGGUGAGUAACACGUGGAUAACCUACCUAUAAGACUGGGAUAACUUCGGGAAACCGGAGCUAAUACCGGAUAAUAUAUUGAACCGCAUGGUUCAAUAGUGAAAGACGGUUUUGCUGUCACUUAUAGAUGGAUCCGCGCCGCAUUAGCUAGUUGGUAAGGUAACGGCUUACCAAGGCAACGAUGCGUAGCCGACCUGAGAGGGGGAUCGGCCACACUGGAACUGAGACACGGACCAGACGCCUACGGGAGGCAGCAGUAGGGAAUCGUCCGCAAUGGGCGGAAGCCUGACGGAGCAAGGGCGAGUGAGUGAUGAAGGUCUUCGGAUCGUAAAACUCUGUUAUUAGGGAAGAACAAAUGUGGAAGGAACUAAGCACGUCUUGACGGUAACUGAUCAGAAAGCCACGGCUAACUACGUG
rnacentral:rRNA from 1 species